rnacentral:rRNA from 1 species
UAAAACGUAGGUGGCGAGCGUUAUCCGGAUUUACUGGGCGUAAAGAGCUUGUAGGCGGUCUUGUAAGUUGGGCGUGAAAGCCUCGGGCUUAACUCGGGGAGGCCGUUCAAUACUGCAGGGCUAGAGGAUGUCAGAGGGAGAUGGAAUUCCUGGUGUAGCAGUGAAAUGCGUAGAUAUCAGGAGGAACACCCGUGGCGAAGGCGGUCUCCUGGGGCAUUCCUGACGCUGAGAAGCGAAAGCUAGGGGAGCGAACGGGAUUAGAAACCCCGGUAGUCCUAGCCGUAAACGAUGGAUGCUAGGUGUUGGCAGAUCUAACCCUGCCAGUGCCAAAGCUAACGCGUUAAGCAUCCCGCCUGGGAACUACGAGCGCAAGCUUA